UCUCAAGUUUCCAGACUAUCGGUGAGAUGUCAAGGUGUCAAGAUGUUUCUCUGCGUGCUUAAACACUAUCAGAAGCACUGUGCCGCAUUUACAAACCUAAACUGUGAUAUUUGGUUAUUGUCGCGGGUGUGUACGUGGAUGUUCAAUUUUUUUUCUCCAAACACAUUUUGGCCUCUGUACGGUGGCCAACAGGGAAAAACGCGCUGCGAACAAAAGAAUGCCGCAAACAAACAAACAAACAAACAAACAAGCAAUAAACUAAAAACACACACAUGGAAAUUAAAUAAAAACAAGACACCAGCAAAAAAAAA